AUGCAAGUCGAGCGGAAACGAAGAAGUGCUUGCACCUUUGGCGUCGAGCGGCGGACGGGUGAGUAAUGCUUGGGAAUAUGCCUUAUGGUGGGGGACAACAGUUGGAAACGACUGCUAAUACCGCAUAAUGUCUACGGACCAAAGUGGGGGACCUUCGGGCCUCACGCCAUAAGAUUAGCCCAAGUGGGAUUAGCUAGUUGGUGAGGUAAUGGCUCACCAAGGCGACGAUCCCUAGCUGGUUUGAGAGGAUGAUCAGCCACACUGGGACUGAGACACGGCCCAGACUCCUACGGGAGGCAGCAGUGGGGAAUAUUGCACAAUGGGCGCAAGCCUGAUGCAGCCAUGCCGCGUGUGUGAAGAAGGCCUUCGGGUUGUAAAGCACUUUCAGUAAGGAGGAAAGGUUAAGUGUUAAUAGCACUUAGCUGUGACGUUACUUACGGAAGAAGCACCGGCUAACUCCGUGCCAGCAGCCGCGGUAAUACGGAGGGUGCGAGCGUUAAUCGGAAUUACUGGGCGUAAAGCGUACGCAGGCGGUUUGUUAAGCGAGAUGUGAAAGCCCCGGGCUCAACCUGGGAACUG
rnacentral:rRNA from 1 species